AUUGAACGCUGGCGGCAUGCCUUACACAUGCAAGUCGAACGGUACGCGGGGCAACCUGGCGACGAGUGGCGAACGGGUGAGUAAUGUAUCGGAACGUGCCCAAUAGUGGGGGAUAGCCCGGCGAAAGCCGGAUUAAUACCGCAUGAGAACUGAGGGUGAAAGCGGGGGAUCGCAGGACCUCGCGCUGUUGGAGCGGCCGAUAUCAGAUUAGGUAGUUGGUGGGGUAAAGGCCUACCAAGCCUGCGAUCUGUAGCUGGUCUGAGAGGAUGGCCAGCCACACUGGGACUGAGACACGGCCCAGACUCCUACGGGAGGCAGCAGUGGGGAAUUUUGGACAAUGGGCGCAAGCCUGAUCCAGCCAUGCCGCGUGCGGGAAGAAGGCCUUCGGGUUGUAAACCGCUUUUGUCAGGGAAGAAAUCUUCUGGGUUAAUACCUCGGGAGGAUGACGGUACCUGAAGAAUAAGCACCGGCUAACUACGUGCCAGCCGCCGCAGUAA
rnacentral:rRNA from 1 species